rnacentral:rRNA from 1 species
UACGUAGGUGGCAAGCGUUGUCCGGAAUUAUUGGGCGUAAAGCGCGCGCAGGCGGUCCUUUAAGUCUGAUGCUAAAGCCCACGGCUCAACCGUGGAGGGUCAUUGGAAACUGGGGGACUUGAGUACAGAAGAGAAGAGUGGAAUUCCACGUGUAGCGGUGAAAUGCGUAGAGAUGUGGAGGAACACCAGUGGCGAAGGCGACUCUUUGGUCUGUAACUGACGCUGAGGCGCGAAAGCGUGGGGAGCAAACAGG